CUCUGGUUUGCUACGUAGCUUAAGCUGGGUGUGCCUGGGCAUUCGCCCAGGUCUCUGCCUCUGCAGCAAAACGGGGGUGACCAAACCAGCCCCACAGAUUGAUUAUGAAGAGUAAAUGUGGUCCCAUGGCAUCAUCAUAUAUGAGAAACACCUCAAUACAUUGAGCACGAACGUCAACAAUGGUGAUUAAAUUACAGGCAGUCAGGCAGGGCUGGCCUCUUUCUGACUUGUGAUCUGAACCGUGGAGCUCACGUGUUCAGAAUGAACAUCACCUCACUGGAGUUCAAGGCUCUGCAACUCGUACGUGCUUCAGAAUCCCUGGGAAGCUAAACGUUAAGAUGUUUGUGUACCAGAGCCUGGCAGGAAGUGAAGAAAUCCCCUUUGGAAGAGCAGCAGCGGCCUCUAUCCCGUGGCCUCCUCCCUCAUUCCUGGGGUGGCUGCCUGGGGCCUCCCAGUGCUGUGGCCUUGGUGGCUUUUCUCCUCUUUUUCUGACUGUUCCGGGAAAGGGGAGGGAUGGGGGAGAACCUGGUUCAGACCUCUUUUUGGAAUCACAGUGCCUUUGGCCCUCCACUGCCUAGCUCUCUCCAGCCUCAGCUCAGUUCUUAGAAUGAUGUCGUAGCAGGAAGUGGUUGGGGAAAGGGUGGUGAGAGGUGGCAGACACAGGAGGAGAGAAGAGGUUCCCAGGUCCGAGAGAAAACACCAGAGGGGAGAAUCCAGAGAGGACUCAGAGGUGAAACUGUGCCUUUUGACAGUGACAUUCCUUCCUUCAAAACACUUUUCCUAAGAAAAUUAAGAAGGCAAGGACAAGGGACCCAGAAUCCUCCCUAAAGCCAGACAAUAAUUAAAUGAGAGCUAAGGGCCGAGGAGGGCAGAUCACCUGAGGUCGGGAGUUCGAGACCAGCCUGACCAACAUGGAGAAACCCCGUCUCUACUACAAAUACAAAAUUAGCCGGGCAUGGUGGCGCAUGCCUGUAAUCCCAGCUACUUGGGAGGCUGAGGCAGGAGAAUCACUUGAACCCGGGAGGCAGAGGUGGCGGUGAGCGAAGAUCGCACCACUGCACUCCAGCCUGGGCAACAAGAGCGAAACUCCGUCUGAAAAAAAAAAAAAGCUAAGGGCCCAGGAAUGGCAGAAAAAUACCUCCUUGCAUCUUAAACUUGUCUGCUUUAAUAAUUUACUCUACAAGUAAUACGUGCUUUCGUGUGUGUUUAAAGCUUGUGAGGCUGGAUGAUAUUUCUGAAACGUUAAUUGGUAAUUGUUUCCACCUGGUAUGUCCUUUCUCUUGAGACCCUUCUCCAUUUGAGCCAGUGGGCUGCUCUGUGGCUACUGCUUUGGGAAAGGGACGUAACUGCUCCCUGCCCUCUGCUUUUGUUUCCAAAACCCAAGUUCUUAGGAAAACCAAAACAACUCUUGGCAUAGGAGACAACAGAUUUGGG
rnacentral:lncRNA from 1 species